rnacentral:rRNA from 1 species
AUUGAACGCUGGCGGAAGGCCUAACACAUGCAAGUCGAACGAGUGGCGGACGGGUGAGUAAUGACUGGGAAACUGCCUGAUGGAGGGGGAUAACUACUGGAAACGGUAGCUAAUACCGAAUAACAUCGGAUGUGACAAGAUGGGAUUAGCUAGUAGGUGGGGUAAAGGCUCACCUAGACGACGAACCCUAGCUGUUCUGAGAGGAUGACCAGCCACACUGUAACUGAGACCCGGUCCAGACUCCUACGGGAGGCAGCAGUGGGGAAUAUUGCACAAUGGGCGCAAGCCUGAUGCAGCCAUGCCGCUUGUAUUAAGAAGGCCUUCGGGUUGUAAAGUACUUUCAGCGGGGAGGCGUUACCCGCAGAAGAAGCACCGGCUAACUCCGUGCCAGCCGCCGCGGUAAUUC